rnacentral:rRNA from 1 species
AUACCCUAUUAUUUUUAAUGUAAAUUUUUAAGCUAAGGUAGUAUUAGUUAAUAGUCUUGAAACCUAAAGAAUUUGGCGGUAUUAUAGUCUAUUUAGAGGAAUCUGUUGUGUAAUCGAUAAUCCACGUUGGACCUUACUUAUAUUAAUUCUUGUAUAUCGCUGUUUAGUGAAUAUAUUUUUAGGUUAUUUUCUAAAUAAAUAAAUAUUUAGUAUUUCAAGUCAAGGUGCAGUAAUAUAUAAGUAUUAAUGGAUUACAAUAAAUUUUAUUUAUACGAAUAAUCUUUGAAAUAUUGAUUUGAAGGUGGAUUUAGUUGUAAUUUAGAAAAGAUUAUUUAAAUGAUAUUAGCUCUAUAAUAUGUACACAUCGCCC